rnacentral:rRNA from 1 species
AUUGAACGCUGGCGGCAUGCUUUACACAUGCAAGUCGAACGGUAACAGGCCUUCGGGUGCUGACGAGUGGCGCACGGGUGAGUAAUGCAUCGGAACGUGCCCAGAGGUGGGGAUAAACGCACCAAAACCGUUCUUAAUACCCCAGUGGACCUGAGGUUGAAAGCGGGGAACAAGGCGCCAAGGUUUGGCCUGGCGCCUUUGGACCGCCGGAUGUCAGAUUAGGUAGUUGGUGGGGUAAAGGCCUACCAAGCCGACGAUCUGUAGCUGGUCUGAGAGGACGACCAGCCACACUGGGACUGAGACACGGCCCAGACUCCUACGGGAGGCAGCAGUGGGGAAUUUUGGACAAUGGGCGCAAGCCUGAUCCAGCAAUGCCGCGUGCGGGAAGAAGGCCUUCGGGUUGUAAACCGCUUUUGUACGGAACGAAAAGGCUCUGGCUAAUACCUGGGGCUGAUGACGGUACCGUAAGAAUAAGCACCGGCUAACUACGUG